rnacentral:rRNA from 1 species
AGCGAACGCUGGCGGCAGGCUUAACACACGCAAGUCGAACGCCCCGCAAGGGGAGUGGCAGACGGGUGAGUAACACGUGGGAACGUACCCUUUGGUUCGGAAUAACUUGGGGAAACUCAAGCUAAUACCGGAUAAGCCCUUAUGGGGAAAGGUUUACUGCCGAAGGAUCGGCCCGCGUCUGAUUAGCUAGUUGGUGAGGUAAUGGCUCACCAAGGCGACGAUCAGUAGCUGGUCUGAGAGGAUGAUCAGCCACACUGGGACUGAGACACAGCCCAGACUCCUACGGGAGGCAGCAGUGGGGAAUAUUGGACAAUGGGGGCAACCCUGAUCCAGCCAUGCCGCGUGAGUGAUGAAGGCCUUAGGGUUGUAAAGCUCUUUUACCCGGGACGAUAAUGACUGUACCGGGAGAAUAAGCCCCGGCUAACUUCGUGCCAGCAGCCGCGGUAA